GUGGGGAAUAUUGCACAAUGGGCGCAAGCCUGAUGCAGCAACGCCGCGUGAGGGAUGACGGCCUUCGGGUUGUAAACCUCUUUUAGCAGGGAAGAAGCGAAAGUGACGGUACCUGCAGAAAAAGCACCGGCUAACUACGUGCCAGCAGCCGCGGUAAUACGUAGGGUGCAAGCGUUAUCCGGAAUUAUUGGGCGUAAAGAGCUCGUAGGCGGUUUGUCGCGUCUGCUGUGAAAACUGGAGGCUCAACCUCCAGCCUGCAGUGGGUACGGGCAGACUAGAGUGCGGUAGGGGAGAUUGGAAUUCCUGGUGUAGCGGUGGAAUGCGCAGAUAUCAGGAGGAACACCGAUGGCGAAGGCAGAUCUCUGGGCCGUAACUGACGCUGAGGAGCGAAAGGGUGGGGAGCAA
rnacentral:rRNA from 1 species